UCUAUGGAGAGUUUGAUCCUGGCUCAGGACGAACGCUGGCGGCGUGCUUCAUACAUGCAAGUCGAGCGAGGCUCCUCCUUCGGGAGGAUGCCCUAGCGGCGAACGGGUGAGUAACACGUGGGCAACCUGCCCCUAGCACUGGGAUAACCCCGGGAAACCGGAGCUAAUACCAGAUACGACCACGGACGGCAUCGCCUCGUGGUGGA
rnacentral:rRNA from 1 species